UACGUAGGGUGCAAGCGUUGUCCGGAAUUAUUGGGCGUAAAGAGCUCGUAGGCGGUUUGUCGCGUCUGCUGUGAAAACGCGAGGCUCAACCUCGCGCCUGCAGUGGGUACGGGCAGACUAGAGUGCGGUAGGGGAGACUGGAAUUCCUGGUGUAGCGGUGGAAUGCGCAGAUAUCAGGAGGAACACCGGUGGCGAAGGCGGGUCUCUGGGCAGUAACUGACGCUGAGGAGCGAAAGCGUGGGGAGCGAACAGG
rnacentral:rRNA from 1 species